rnacentral:lncRNA from 1 species
UUUUUCCUUUUCUUAGCCCAACAUGAGAGGCUUACACAUGUACCCCUUUUCCCCAAACUUGUGAACUUGUCUGAUAUGUAGUCUCAAGUUUAUAAGCUUCCCUUAGAAAAAGUUCUAUUUCAUUUCUACAAAUCAUACUUCUCUCAUUUUAUAAUCCUUGAAAUGGAUAGUGCUGCCUCAUCUUAGAUGAGGCAUUCAACAGUUUUAAUUUCUAAGUUAUAAAUUAUUAUUUCUUCUUCUUUUUUAAACGUCUUAGAGACAAAUCUGUCUAUUUCACAUAGGAAGCCAGUUGAGUUGUUCCUCACGCUUUCCCCACGAAGCUGCAUCUGAAGGACUUCCUCACCCCCCCGCUGUGAUCACAAGUUAUGCCUCACAGAUUCAUUUCCUUAUGAAUGACUUCAGGAAGCCAGCAUUUUUAAUAAAUAGGAAGUAAAUUAUAUUUAAUGACUAAAUUCUCACCUAAAGUUGAUACUAAUAUUACAAUAACUCUCUUGUGCCCUAUUUUGGUGUUUUAAACUUCUUUGCUGUACAUUUAAGAAAAUCAGAAUUUCAGUAGACUCCUCGUGCAGUCUGAGGAGGCAGUUUCCUAUCUGGUUUGACUUAAGGGGCUGCAGAAGACAUUCUUAUCCCACAUAUUUCUUCUGCUGAUCAGUCAGCAACUGAAAUUCCAACUAAUGGAUUCCAUUCUUCCAGUUAAGACAUCAUCUCCAGAAAACUGUGCUAGUUGGCAUCCAGCAGUGCCCAAGUAUUAUUUAACCCACUAGAACCUGUGACUGCAUCAGCUUUAUAUCCUGGACCUCAGCCUGGAACAAAGGAGAGCUACACUUGGAUACUAAACACAAGUGGUCUGGAUAGAUUAUGCUGGGAAAAGAAGCCUGGAGCAGGCAGUACAGUGGGAGAACAAGGAGAGAAUGGAGUUGCAGCAGACUGCUCAGGAAUUGUACAUCACCAGUAGCUUCUGUCUCAGCUAAGUGUGGGAGACUGAUACUGAUGAGCCAUUAACAAUGGUGGAGAUUCUGAAUCACUGAAGCACUUGAUAAAAGAAAUGUCGUGGGUGAUGUGAAAAUCUACAUAUGCCCAUGAGAGUAUAUUGAGUUUGUAAGUGUUGUUGCUUAGUGUGUCACAGAGAAGUUUAUAAGAAACUAUUUUGGAGUAAGAAACAACACAGAAGAACACAGUUUCAGCCUGAAAUGGCUUAUUUAGCCACUGACCAUCAGAAACAAUUACUUUUUACCUUAACCUAGAUUUGUAAUAGCAGGAUGCAUUGAAUUCCUUCAUUGAAGUGAAACCUUAGCAAAUCUUUAAGUAGUACUCUAAAGUGACAAAAGGUGUUUACAUUUACUAAUGUAAAUUUCUUGUGGAGAUAAAGUUUUUAUUCUUCUUGGGUCUCAAGACUGCUCAAGAAGGAACCAUCGUUUGUUCUACACUGCUCUGUUCUAAAUGUUUGUUCCCCCAAUAUUCAUAUGUUGAAAUUCUAACCCCCAAGGAGAUAGUAUUAGGAGGUGGGGCCUUCGGGACAUGAUAAGGUCAUGAGGAUGAAGCCCUCAAGAAUAAGAUUCAUUGCCUUAUAAAGAAAAACCAGAAAGAUCCCUCAUUUCUUCAAUCAUAAGAAGACACAUGAGCAAGAAGACGGCCAGCUAUGAAGCAGGUCGUGGGCCCUCGCCAGACACUGAAUCUGCCAACACUUUGAUCUUGGAUUUCCUAGCCUGCAGAACUGUGAGAAAUAAAUUUCUUUUCUUUAUAAUC